UAAUGGGUCAGCGACUUAUAUUCUGUAGCAAGGUUAACCGAAUAGGGGAGCCGAAGGGAAACCGAGUCUUAACUGGGCGUUAAGUUGCAGGGUAUAGACCCGAAACCCGGUGAUCUAGCCAUGGGCAGGUUGAAGGUUGGGUAACACUAACUGGAGGACCGAACCGACUAAUGUUGAAAAAUUAGCGGAUGACUUGUGGCUGGGGGUGAAAGGCCAAUCAAACCGGGAGAUAGCUGGUUCUCCCCGAAAGCUAUUUAGGUAGCGCCUCGUGAAUUCAUCUCCGGGGGUAGAGCACUGUUUCGGCAAGGGGGUCAUCCCGACUUACCAACCCGAUGCAAACUGCGAAUACCGGAGAAUGUUAUCACGGGAGACACACGGCGGGUGCUAACGUCCGUCGUGAAGAGGGAAACAACCCAGACCGCCAGCUAAGGUCCCAAAGUCAUGGUUAAGUGGGAAACGAUGUGGGAAGGCCCAGACAGCCAGGAUGUUGGCUUAGAAGCAGCCAUCAUUUAAAGAAAGCGUAAUAGCUCACUGGUCGAGUCGGCCUGCGCGGAAGAUGUAACGGGGCUAAACCAUGCACCGAAGCUGCGGCAGCGACACUAUGUGUUGUUGGGUAGGGGAGCGUUCUGUAAGCCUGUGAAGGUGGCCUGUGAGGGUUGCUGGAGGUAUCAGAAGUGCGAAUGCUGACAUAAGUAACGAUAAAGCGGGUGAAAAGCCCGCUCGCCGGAAGACCAAGGGUUCCUGUCCAACGUUAAUCGGGGCAGGGUGAGUCGACCCCUAAGGCGAGGCCGAAAGGCGUAGUCGAUGGGAAACAGGUUAAUAUUCCUGUACUUGGUGUUACUGCGAAGGGGGGACGGAGAAGGCUAUGUUGGCCGGGCGACGGUUGUCCCGGUUUAAGCGUGUAGGCUGGUUUUCCAGGCAAAUCCGGAAAACCAAGGCUGAGGCGUGAUGA
rnacentral:rRNA from 1 species